GGUGAUAUAGCUCAGUUGGUAGAGUAUUUGCUUUGCUUGCACAAGGCCCUGGGUUCAAUCCCUAGCACCA
rnacentral:tRNA from 1 species